AAACUUACUUGGCUGGGAGGUUUCUCGUGAUCAUGAAGGCGGGACCUCCAUGGUGAGGCUUGGCCAUUGCACUUUUGGGCUAGGCUGACCUGUGUGGCAACUCCAAGGUGGGGUUAGCCAACAGCAUAAUUUUUGCGUUUGGGGGUGCUUACGAGCUCCCCUG
rnacentral:snRNA from 1 species